GCAGUGGAAACACCAACCUGGGAAGGGCCUAGAGUCAUGUGGUGGAGUUAAGCCACAACCUUUCCCAAACUCAAAUAGCUGAAAGAAAGAAGAAAAGAAACAAAUUAGUAUUAGAAAUCUUGUGAUAAUGAAACGAUACAGUUUUACCAGUAUUCCUGAAACGAAAAAAAAAAACUUAAUAUCUAAAAAUUACAAUGAUUUCAAUAAAUACUUACCUCAGUUUACAUGUUGUCUGCUUCUUUGUUUUAAUUAAUUAAUGCAAUUUGUGUCAAGUUCUCACAUGUAUUGAAUUCGCCUCGAACAUCUGUAGUAAAAAGGGUUGCCAGAUGUGAGAUUAUGAGAGUGGUCAGACACAGUGUGAGAGAAAUGUGUACGUAGGAUUUUAUGAAUGAAUAUGAAUGUUGAUAGUUCGUUAAGUUCAAAUAAAGCUAUUCAAUGUUUAGAUACAAAUUGUGGAAGAAUUAGAAAAGGAUGGUUGUGUUAUGAAAUGUCAGAAUGUGAUGACUAUAGGAUUUAAAGGAGCAUAAAUAUAAUAGGCCCAAUUGGAAUAGAAAUUCUUGGAACCUAUAGAGUAUAAAUAUAAGUUUCUGCUCGGCCAUCUUAAAGAGAUAGAAGAAAAUAAGCAGCCCAGACGGUAUACAUAUAUAUUUUUUCAAAUUUAAACAAAAUAAUAUAAACAAGAAAGUGCAAUUUAAAUAACAAAAAUACAAAAAAAAAUAUAAGAACGAAGAUUUAAAGUUAUCUAUUUGAAAUAAACUUAUCGAAGAAUAAAAGCAGUUUCGAUUCUGUGAUAGGAAACUAAGGAAAUCCCUGCAAUACUUAAUCAACAUAAGGCAAUUAAACUUCUUAGUCCCCCAGAACUGGAGCAGGGCCAGAACAAAAUACGGGGACUACAAAAUUUUUUUUUGGGAGAAGGCACAAAGCUCAACAACUGCCCAACAAAUUAUAUUUGAAUAAAUUAUUACAUCAUCAACGGAAAAACCAUUCGGAACAGGGAAGUGCUUACUGUUAAGAAAAACAACAGAAUAGUCUUUUAUCUCUAAUUAGUUUGAUAUCCCUAAUAUAUAAGUCUUAUUUAACAUCUCUAGUUUAAGUUUGUUAGUUUUAGUUAUAUUUUUUUUUUAUUUUGUUUUUUUUUUUUUGUGUGU